UACGGAGGGUGCGAGCGUUGUCCGGAAUUAUUGGGCGUAAAGAGCUCGUAGGCGGUCUGUCGCGUCGGCUGUGGAAAACUCGGGGCUCAACCCCCGAGCCUGCAGUCGAUACGGGCAGACUAGAGUGCUGUAGGGGAGACUGGAAUUCCUGGUGUAGCGGUGAAAUGCGCAGAUAUCAGGAGGAACACCAGUGGCGAAGGCGGCCCCGCUGGACAAGUAUUGACGCUGAGGUGCGAAAGCGUGGGGGAGCAAACAGG
rnacentral:rRNA from 1 species